rnacentral:rRNA from 1 species
GAUGAACGCUGGCGGCGUGCCUAAUACAUGCAAGUCGAGCGAACAGAUAAGGAGCUUGCUCCUUUGACGUUAGCGGCGGACGGGUGAGUAACACGUGGGUAACCUACCUAUAAGACUGGGAUAACUUCGGGAAACCGGAGCUAAUACCGGAUAACAUUUGGAACCGCAUGGUUCUAAAUUGAAAGAGGGUUUUGCUAUCACUUAGAGAUGGACCCGCGCCGUAUUAGCUAGUUGGUAAGGUAAAGGCUUACCAAGGCGACGAUACGUAGCCGACCGGAGAGGGUGAUCGGCCACACUGGAACUGAGACACGGUCCAGACUCCUACGGGAGGCAGCAGUAGGGAAUCUUCCGCAAUGGGCGAAAGCCUGACGGAGCAACGCCGCGUGAGUGAUGAAGGGUUUCGGCUCGUAAAACUCUGUUAUUAGGGAAGAACAAAUGUGUAAGUAACUGUGCACGUCUUGACGGUACCUAAUCAGAAAGCCACGGCUAACUACGUGCCAGCCGCCGCCGUAA